rnacentral:tRNA from 1 species
AAGGUUUUAAGUUAACAUCAAACUAAUAGCCUUCAAAGCUAUCAAUAAAGAAGGUUCUUUAAGCCUUA